rnacentral:rRNA from 1 species
UGGGGAAUAUUGGACAAUGGGCGCAAGCCUGAUCCAGCAAUGCCGCGUGGAUGAAGAAGGUCUUCGGAUUGUAAAGUCCUUUCGACGGGGACGAUGAUGACGGUACCCGUAGAAGAAGCCCCGGCUAACUUCGUGCCAGCAGCCGCGGUAAUACGAAGGGGGCUAGCGUUACUCGGAAUUACUGGGCGUAAAGGGCGCGUAGGCGGCUUUUCAAGUUGGACGUGAAAUUCCUGGGCUCAACCUGGGGACUGCGUUCAAGACUGUGGAGCUAGAGGAUGGAAGAGGGUCGUGGAAUUCCCAGUGUAGAGGUGAAAUUCGUAGAUAUUGGGAAGAACACCGGUGGCGAAGGCGGCGACCUGGUCCAUUACUGACGCUGAGGCGCGACAGCGUGGGGAGCAAACAGG